rnacentral:rRNA from 1 species
CAGUAGCCGCGGGAAUACGAAGGGUGCAAGCGUUACUCGGAAUUACUGGGCGUAAAGCGUGCGUAGGUGGUGGUUUAAGUCCGUUGUGAAAGCCCUGGGCUCAACCUGGGAAUUGCAGUGGAUACUGGGUCACUAGAGUGUGGUAGAGGAUAGUGGAAUCUCCGGUGUAGCAGUGAAAUGCGUAGAGAUCGGAAGGAACAUCUGUGGCGAAGGCGACUAUCUGGGCCAACACUGACACUGAGGCACGAAAGCGUGGGGAGCAAACAGGAUUAGAUACCCCAGUAGUCCCUGUCUCUUAUAC